rnacentral:rRNA from 1 species
GAUGAACGCUAGCGGCAGGCCUAACACAUGCAAGUCGAGGGGUAGAAUUAACUUGCUAAUUUGAGACCGGCGCACGGGUGCGUAACGCGUAUGCAAUCUGCCUUGUACUGAGGGAUAGCCCAGAGAAAUUUGGAUUAAUACCUCAUAGUAUUAUGAAAUCGCAUGGUUUUAUAAUUAAAGUUCCAACGGUACAAGAUGAGCAUGCGUCCCAUUAGUUAGUUGGUAAGGUAACGGCUUACCAAGACGAUGAUGGGUAGGGGUCCUGAGAGGGAGAUCCCCCACACUGGUACUGAGACACGGACCAGACUCCUACGGGAGGCAGCAGUGAGGAAUAUUGGUCAAUGGGCGCAAGCCUGAACCAGCCAUGCCGCGUGCAGGAUGACGGUCCUAUGGAUUGUAAACUGCUUUUAUACGGGAAGAAACACUCCUACGUGUAGGAACUUGACGGUACCGUAAGAAUAAGGAUCGGCUAACUCCGUGCCAGCCGCCGCCGUAAUAC